GACCAGACUCCUACGGGAGGCAGCAGUGGGGGAUAUUGCACAAUGGGGGGAACCCUGAUGCAGCGACGCCGCGUGAGCGAUGAAGUAUUUCGGUAUGUAAAGCUCUAUCAGCAGGGAAGAAAAUGACGGUACCUGACUAAGAAGCCCCGGCUAACUACGUGCCAGCAGCCGCGGUAAUACGUAGGGGGCAAGCGUUAUCCGGAUUUACUGGGUGUAAAGGGAGCGUAGACGGCUGUGCAAGUCUGAAGUGAAAGGCAAGGGCUCAACCUUUGGACUGCUUUGGAAACUGUGCAGCUAGAGUGUCGGAGAGGCAAGUGGAAUUCCUAGUGUAGCGGUGAAAUGCGCAGAUAUCAGGAAGAACACCGGUGGCGCAGGUGGCUUGCUGGACGGCAACUGACGCUGAGGCUCGAAAGCGUGGGGAGCAAACAGGAUUAGAUACCCCUGUAG
rnacentral:rRNA from 1 species